CUAGUUACGGCGAGUGAAGUGGGAAAAGCUCAACUUUGAAAUCUGGUACUUUCAGUAUCCGAAUUGUAGUCUCAAGAAGUGUUUUCUGUGCCGGUCCAUGUAUGAGUCUGUUGGAACACAGCGUCAUAGAGGGUGACAACCCCGUUCAUGACAUGGAUCCCGGUGCUUUGUGAUACACUCUCGAAGAGUCGAGUUGUUUGGGAAUGCAGCUCAAAUUGGGUGGUAAAUUCCAUCUAAAGCUAAAUAUUGGCGAGAGACCGAUAGCAAACAAGUACCGUGAGGGAAAGAUGAAAAGCACUUUGGAAAGAGAGUUAACAGUACGUGAAAUUGUUGAAAGGGAAACGAUUGAAGUCAGACGUGCGUGAUGCGGUUCAGCUCUAGUUCGCUAGAGUGUACUCCGUAUCUUUGCAGGCCAGCAUCGGUUUUGUUAGUCGGAUAAAGGUUUGAGAAAUGUGGCAUCUUCGGAUGUGUUAUAGUCUCAGACUGAAUACGAUUGAUGGGACCGAGGAACGCAGCGCGCCGCAGGGCAAAGGUUCCGACCUUUUCGCGCUUAGGAUGCUGGUGAAAUGGCUUUAAACGACCCGUCU
rnacentral:rRNA from 1 species